AUUGAACGCUGGCGGCAUGCCUUACACAUGCAAGUCGAACGGCAGCGCGGGCUUCGGCCUGGCGGCGAGUGGCGAACGGGUGAGUAAUAUAUCGGAACGUACCCAAGAGUGGGGGAUAACGUAGCGAAAGUUACGCUAAUACCGCAUACGAUCUAAGGAUGAAAGCAGGGGAUCGCAAGACCUUGUGCUCCUGGAGCGGCCGAUAUCUGAUUAGCUAGUUGGUGGGGUAAAGGCCCCACCAAGGCAACGAUCAGUAGCUGGUCUGAGAGGACGACCAGCCACACUGGAACUGAGACACGGUCCAGACUCCUACGGGAGGCAGCAGUGGGGAAUUUUGGACAAUGGGCGCAAGCCUGAUCCAGCAAUGCCGCGUGAGUGAAGAAGGCCUUC
rnacentral:rRNA from 1 species